GACAGAGGGUGCAAACGUCGUUCGGAAUUACUGGGCGUAAAGCGUGUGUAGGUGGCCGCGCAAGUCGGAUGUGAAAGCCCUGGGCUCAACUCAGGAAGUGCACCCGAUACUGCGUGGCUCGAGUACCGGAGAGGUUGGUGGAAUUCUCGGUGUAGAGGUGAAAUUCGUAGAUAUCGAGAGGAACACCUGUGGCGAAGGCGGCCAACUGGACGAGUACUGACACUGAGACACGAAAGCGUGGGGAGCAAACAGG
rnacentral:rRNA from 1 species